UACGGGGGGGGGAAGCGUUGUUCGGAAUUACUGGGCGUAAAGGGCUCGUAGGCGGCCAACUAAGUCAGACGUGAAAUCCCUCAGCUUAACUGGGGAACUGCGUCUGAUACUGGAUGGCUUGGAUUUGGGAGAGGGAUGCGGAAUUCCAGGUGUAGCGGUGAAAUGCGUAGAUAUCUGGAGGAACACCGGUGGCGAAGGCGGCAUCCUGGACCGACACUGACGCUGAGGAGCGAAAGCCAGGGGAGCAAACGGG
rnacentral:rRNA from 1 species